rnacentral:tRNA from 1 species
GCCAGGGUAGCUUAGUGGCAGAGCAACACAUUGGUAAUGUGUAGGUCGAGGGUCCGAUUCCCUCCCCUGGCUUCA